UUGUUCGCUGACAGGAUGCUCGCUGCUCUCGCUUCUUGUUGCUUUUUAUGUCUGCGUGAGUAACAAUUCAUUUGCACACCUGAGGAGCGUUUAUUUUCCUCCGGAUUGGUCGAGUGUCAGUCUUCAGUGUUUGGAGAGUUUUCUCUGCACGUUUCACUGUGUGCGGCAACUCAGUGACCCGAGAGCAAAGGAUGCGCUCAAAUUCUGUUCCUGGAACUUUAGCCGAGACGCAGGAACUGGACCGAGCUACAGCCCUUCUGAUGUGGAUGCAUUAGUGCGCGAUUAUUGCAUGCGAAACCCUUUGACCCGUUCGAAAUUUUUAUCUGCUU